CUUCCAUCAAGGGCACCAAUUAUUGUUGAUUGCUUUAAUGUGCACACUUUCUCGCUAAGAACUGGACCAAGACCACUAGCUCUUCCCAUGAAUACAUCACAAAACUUGGGCUGGAUUUCACAUGAAAAGUGUAAACUGUGACACAGAAAAUUUCAGAGGAAGCCUUUGGUGGAAUCAGCAGUGGAACCCAAGAGCCCUGAAUCUCAGUCUACUGCUCCAAACACCAGAAAACACUGUCAAGAAAAUGUUGCUUGGAUACAAAAAGAUUUCACCUUGAGAAACAGCCCUACAGCAGCAGAGCAUCUGUGCAAGAUAGGAAACUGGCUGAGACGGACCAAGGAAGAUAUGUUCCAGAUCGUGCUGCAACAGUCAGAGGCUGAAAACACUGAACACAAGAAGUGGAGGGAAAGUGAAAAGCAGGAAAGAGAAGGAUACUUACAAGAGGGAUGCCACAGAGAGGCUGAUUUAAAGUUAUGGAUUGUCAAACCGACAUGCUCCAGACUCUCAUAACAUUGCAGACUGAGCAGAUGCAUGCCCGUCCUCUCCUUCACAGCAUUGUAAACUCUUUCCCAUGCACUCCCCAAACUCCCCCUGCGCAUUCCUUUCCACCUUCUGGCACUUUGCGCUUUCCUCUACACUCCACCCCCACAGACAGCUGUUCCAACGAAAGCUGGACCUAUACUCAACUAUGAAAGUCAUCCCCCUUCUGAAUUCCAUCCCCCCCCUGCAACUGUGUAGAUGGCUGUGUGUGUCUGUGUGUUGGUGUGGUUUUUCUGUCAAUAAAAGCAGUGUUUUUAUUAA